GUGUGUGAGUGAGUGAGUGUGUGUGAGUGAGUGAGUGUGUGUGAGUGAGUGAGUGUGUGUGAGAGAGAGUGUGUGAGUGAGUGUGUGUGUGUGUGUGUGUGUGUGUGAGUGUGUGUGUGUGUGUGUGUGAGUGUGUGAGUGAGUGUGUGUGAGUGAGUGAGUGUGUGUGUGUGUGUGUGUGUGAGUGUGUGUGUGAGUGUGUGACGGGUUACCAUACAAUCACUCCUGUAUGCGUCUCUGUUGAGGACUGUGAUGUGAUUAUUGGUUGUGAAUGAGCACAAGAUUAACUUUGCUCUUUGUACAAUGUGUAAAUGUUUUGGCACCUGAACACUGGUACUCCCCCCAGCCCCCCUCCAGCCACCGAUCAAGUACCAAAAGUCCCAGAUGCAUCCACACCGGCAAUGUUUACCCUGGAACAGCGCGGCCGAACAUCGUUCGGUUUUCAGCGAGAGUGGCUGUUUAUAACGGCAGGAGGCGGAGCAAGUGUUCGUGAAGAAAAGUGGGCGGGGCAAGCGGUGGAGGGGCAGGGGGAUGGUAGUGGUGUUUAUUUGUUCCUGAAGCAGUUGGUGAGUCUCGCUGUGCUGCUGCGAGCUUAAAGUGUUUAAUCAACGUAAAUCUAUCCAGCAGCAAUGUUUUUCCCACAAAUAAACAGCACUGACCCUGAAAUGCAAACCAGCAUCCACCCUGUUUCUCCAGAGCUUUAACUUUGACGUCUGAUUUGUGACUUUUACAGCCUGAAUGUGCUAGUGCAUUAGAGCAUUAGUGAGCUACAGCGGAUAGUUCGGAAGGGGAAAAGCUGGCUGUCUUGUAGAAGAGCCGUGAGAUCUUCUCUCGCCCUGCGUCACCUGGAGACGUUUGAUCUCGUCUAGCGGGUAGGGCUGGGCGAUAUUAUAAAAAUACCAUAUCACCAUACUUGAAGACGUUUCUAUGAUACGCGAUGCGCAUCACAUUAAAUAACUUGGCUAACAAACCGUCCACAAAACUGGCUUUGACGAUACUUUUCUUUAACGACAAUUUAAGUUACUGUUUCACGAGUAAUUAUUAAAAACGUGUAACAUUUACAUGACCCUACCGACUAUGUCUCAGAAAAGUGUCAUCGUUUAUCACGAUAUCGGUGUUAUAUCGAUAUAUCGGCCAGCCCUACUGGCUAUUGCUGAGAUUUACGUUUAAGAUGCUCUGUCCUGUGCCUGUAGGAAGAUGCUGGAGAUAUUUGUUUUCACUUUGCUUUGAUAGUUAAUCUGGGAACACGUCCAGAUCGCCAUCAUGUCCUCGUCAUCUGUUUAUUAGUGCUGCAUUACACGACGCAGCUAGGGUUACAUUACACGCUAUCACCUGCUAUCGAUUUCGGAGUUGGAGCAUUUUUCUACACUCGGUACUGUUACCCUAGUGAUGAGGAUGAGGAGGAGGAUGAUGAGGAGGAGGAGGAGGAGGAGGAUGAUGAUGAUGAGGAGGAUGAUGAUGAGGAGGAGGAGGAGGAUGAUGAUGAGGAGGAGGAUGAUGAUGAGGAGGAUGAUGAUGAUGAUGAUGAUGAUGAGGAGGAGGAGGAGGAGGAUGAUGAUGAGGAGGAUGAUGAUGAGGAGGAGGAGGAGGAUGAUGAUGAGGAGGAGGAG
ensembl:lncRNA